rnacentral:tRNA from 1 species
GACCCGAUAGUGCAACUGGAAGCACGUCCCGGCGAAGUCGGGAAGAUCUGGGUUCAAAUCCCAGUCGGGUCA